rnacentral:rRNA from 1 species
AUUCCAACGUUAAUUGUGUUUGUUCUGCCGUUAAUAAGUGAAAGAAAUAAAAUAUAUACAAUUAAAGCGCAUUUAAUAUCAGGUGCGAUCAUACCAGCACUAAUGCACCGGAUCC